rnacentral:rRNA from 1 species
AUUGAACGCUGGCGGCAGGCCUAACACAUGCAAGUCGAGCGGAGCGGCGGACGGGUGAGUAAUGCCUAGGAAUCUGCCUGGUAGUGGGGGAUAACGCCCGGAAAGGGGGCCUAAUACCGCAACCUAUAAGUUGGGCUUGGGUCGGAUUAGCUAGUUGGUGGGGUAAAGGCCUACCAAGGCGACGAUCCGUAACUGGUCUGAGAGGAUGAUCAGUCACACUGGAACUGAGACACGGUCCAGACUCCUACGGGAGGCAGCAGUGGGGAAUAUUGGACAAUGGGCGAAAGCCUGAUCCAGCCAUGCCGCGUGUGUGAAGAAGGUCUUCGGAUUGUAAAGCACUUUAAGUUGGGAGGCGUUACCAACAGAAUAAGCACCGGCUAACUUCGUGCCAGCAGCCGCGGUAAUAC